UGGAUCUUUUUGCGGUCUGGGCUUGCUGUUUCUUGCAAUAGUAGUCAGGAAGCCCUUACCCCAAAAAGUAUCUA
rnacentral:pre_miRNA from 1 species